rnacentral:rRNA from 1 species
UGGGGAAUUUUCGGCAAUGGACGAAAGCCUGAUCCAGCAACGCCGCGUGAGUGAAGAAGGCUUUCGGGUCGUAAAACUCUUUCGUUAGAGAAGAAAAAGGGUGUUAGAACAUGAAACUCCCAUGACGGUACCUAACUAGAAAGCCACGGCUAACUACGUGCCAGCAGCCGCGGUAAUACGUAGGUUGCAAGCGUUGUCCGGAAUUAUUGGGCGUAAAGCGAGCGCAGGCGGUUGCUUAAGUCUGAUGUGAAAGCCCCCGGCUUAACCGGGGAAGGUCAUUGGAAACUGGGGGACUUGAGUGCGGAAGAGGGGAGUGGAAUUCCAUGUGUAGCGGUGAAAUGCGUAGAUAUAUGGAGGAACACCGGUGGCGAAGGCGGCUCUCUGGUCUGUAACUGACGCUGAGGCUCGAAAGCGUGGGGAGCAAACAGG